rnacentral:rRNA from 1 species
AUUGAACGCUGGCGGCAUGCCUUACACAUGCAAGUCGAACGGCAGCACGGGGCAACCUGGUGGCGAGUGGCGAACGGGUGAGUAAUGCAUCGGAACGUACCUUUCAGUGGGGGAUAACGUAGCGAAAGUUACGCUAAUACCGCAUAUUCUGUGAGCAGGAAAGCAGGGGAUCGCAAGACCUUGUGCUGAUUGAGCGGCCGAUGUCAGAUUAGCUAGUUGGUGAGGUAAAGGCUCACCAAGGCGACGAUCUGUAGCGGGUCUGAGAGGAUGAUCCGCCACACUGGAACUGAGACACGGUCCAGACUCCUACGGGAGGCAGCAGUGGGGAAUUUUGGACAAUGGGGGCAACCCUGAUCCAGCCAUGCCGCGUGAGUGAAGAAGGCCUUCGGGUUGUAAAGCUCUUUCGGCCGGGAAGAAAUCGCACGGGCUAAUACCCUGUGUGGAUGACGGUACCGGAAUAAGAAGCACCGGCUAACUACGUGCCAGCAGCCGCCGUAAUAC